rnacentral:rRNA from 1 species
GCUACAGGCUUAACACAUGCAAGUCGAGGGGCAGCAUCAUCAAAGCUUGCUUUGAUGGAUGGCGACCGGCGCACGGGUGAGUAACACGUAUCCAACCUGCCGACAACACUGGGAUAGCCUUUCGAAAGAAAGAUUAAUACCGGAUGGCAUAGUUUUCCCGCAUGGGAUAAUUAUUAAAGAAUUUCGGUUGUCGAUGGGGAUGCGUUCCAUUAGGCAGUUGGCGGGGUAACGGCCCACCAAACCUACGAUGGAUAGGGGUUCUGAGAGGAAGGUCCCCCACAUUGGAACUGAGACACGGUCCAAACUCCUACGGGAGGCAGCAGUGAGGAAUAUUGGUCAAUGGACGAGAGUCUGAACCAGCCAAGUAGCGUGAAGGAUGACUGCCCUAUGGGUUGUAAACUUCUUUUAUACGGGAAUAAAGUGAGCCACGUGUGGCUUUUUGUAUGUACCGUAUGAAUAAGGAUCGGCUAACUCCGUGCCAGCAGCCGCGGUAAUACGGAGGAUUCGAGCGUUAUCCGGAUUUAUUGGGUUUAAAGGGAGCGUAAGCGGGUUGUUAAGUCAGUUGUGAAAGUUUGCGGCUCAACCGUAAAAUUGCAGUUGAUACUGGCGACCUUGAGUGCAACAGAGGUAGGCGGAAUUCGUGGUGUAGCGGAGAAAUGCUUAGAUAUCACGAAGAGCUCCGAUUGCGAAGGCAGCUUACUGGAUUGUAACUGACGCUGAUGCUCAAAAGUGUGGGUAUCAAACAGGAUUAGAUACCCUGGUAGUCCACACAGUAAAACGAUGAAUACUCGCUGUUUGGCGAUAUACAGUCAGCGGCCAAGCGAAAGCAUUAAGUAUUCCACCUGGGGAGUACGCCGGCAACGGUGAAACUCAAAGGAAUUGACGGGGGCCCGCACAAGCGGAGGAACAUGUGGUUUAAUUCGAUGAUACGCGAGGAACCUUACCCGGGCUUAAAUUGCAACUGACGGAACCGGAAACGGUUCUUUCUUCGGACAGUUGUGAAGGUGCUGCAUGGUUGUCGUCAGCUCGUGCCGUGAGGUGUCGGCUUAAGUGCCAUAACGAGCGCAACCCUUACGGGUAGUUACCAUCAGGUUAUGCUGGGGACUCUACCCGGACUGCCGUCGUAAGAUGUGAGGAAGGUGGGGAUGACGUCAAAUCAGCACGGCCCUUACGUCCGGGGCUACACACGUGUUACAAUGGGGGGUACAGAAGGCAGCUACACGGCGACGUGGUGCUAAUCCCAAAAGCCUCUCUCAGUUCGGAUUGGAGUCUGCAACCCGACUCCAUGAAGCUGGAUUCGCUAGUAAUCGCGCAUCAGCCACGGCGCGGUGAAUACGUUCCCGGGCCUUGUACACACCGCCCGUCAAGCCAUGAAAGCCGGGGGUACCUGAAGUACGUAACCGCGAGGAGCGUCCUAGGGUAAAACUGGUGAUUGGGGCUAAG